GUCCUGGUAACUUAUUGAUAAAUCACAGUUAAGAAGUGCCGGUGCGUUCUGAAAAUCCCCGUGUCGGCAGUUCGAUUCUGUCCCUGGCCACCA
rnacentral:tRNA from 1 species